rnacentral:lncRNA from 1 species
GAGAGCCGCAGCUUUGCUUCCCUGGGGAAGGGCUGACGUCCUCCGGGCGCCACUGCCCGCUUGGCGAAAUGCCUGGGGGCUGCCUAGAUCCCCGAGGCGGCGAGGUCUGGCCUCAUCCUCCUGGUGGGGAGACGGAAGGCACGCCCCCACUCCUCCCACGCCAGCCCCAGCGAGCACGCUCCCCCACCGCUCGCGGCUCCCCGGCCCGGAGUGUUUUCACUCGCGCCGCCGCCGAGGAGCCGCAGGCCCUCCCCGCCCCGCUUCCUCGUAUCACUAGCGCUGGUCGGCCGCUGGGGGCGCUGUGCGGACUGACGAGGACCGCCCCCUCUUCCUCCCUCUCCUCCGCCUCCUCCCUCUCCUCCGCCUCCUCCCUCUCCUCCGCCUCCUCCUCACUACAGUUCCCACUCUGGGUGGGAGCGAGCGCGUCCGGUUUGCAGGAACCUUUCGGAAAUGGCAACUUGCGCGAUGGAGGUGUUCGGGCUCCCGGAGGACGAGGAAAAUUCCCGAAUUGUGAGGGUAAAAGUUAUAGCUGGAAUAGGCCUUGCCAAAAAGGAUAUCUUGGGAGCUAGUGAUCCUUAUGUGCGAGUGACGUUAUAUGACCCAAUGAAUGGAAUUUUUACAAGUGUGCAAACGAAAACCAUUAAAAAGACUUUGAAUCCAAAAUGGAAUGAAGAAAUAUUAUUCAGAACAGAAAAUCCAAGAAUGGAGAGACCAUAUACCUUUAAGGAUUUUGUUCUUCAUCCAAGAAGUCACAAAUCAAGAGUUAAAGGUUAUCUGAGAUUAAAAAUGACUUACUUACCUAAAACCAGUGGCUCAGAAGACGAUAACACAGAACAGGCUGAGGAAUUAGAGCCUGGCUGGGUAGUUUUGGACCAACCAGAUGCUGCUUGCCAUUUGCAGCAGCAACAGGAACCUUCUCCUCUACCUCCAGGGUGGGAAGAGAGACAGGAUAUCCUUGGAAGGACCUACUAUGUAAACCAUGAAUCUAGAAGAACACAGUGGAAAAGACCAACCCUUCAGGACAACCUAACAGAUAAUGGUAACAUUCAACUGCAAGCCCAGCGUGCAUUUACCACCAGGAGGCAGAUAUCUGAGGAAACAGAAAGUGUUGACAACCGAGAACCUUCUGAGAACUGGGAAAUUAUAAGAGAAGAUGAAGCCACCAUGUACGGCCAUCAAGCCUUCCCUUCAUCUCCACCAUCAAAUAACUUGGAUGUCCAGACUCAUCUUGCAGAAGAAUUGAAUGCCAGACUCACUGUUGGUGGAAAUUCAGCCACUGGCCAGCCAGUAUCCAACUCAAAUCAUUCCAGCAGAAGAGGCAGCUUGCAAGCCUAUACUUUUGAGGAACAGCCUACACUUCCUGUGCUUUUGCCUACUUCAUCUGGAUUACCACCAGGUUGGGAAGAAAAACAAGAUGAAAGAGGAAGAUCAUACUAUGUGGAUCACAAUUGCAGAACUACUACCUGGAUAAAGCCCACUGUACAGGCCACAGUGGAGACCAGUCAGCUGCCGUCAAGCCAGGGUUCUUCUGCAGGCCCCCAGCCACAGGCCCCCGCGAGUGACGCAGCACAACAGGUGACCCAGCCAUCUGAAAUGGAGCAAGGAUUCCUCCCCAAAGGCUGGGAGGUCCGGCACGCACCAAACGGGAGGCCUUUCUUCAUUGACCACAACACCAAAACCACCACCUGGGAAGAUCCAAGACUGAAAAUUCCAGCUCAUCUGAGAGGAAAGACAUCACUUGAUUCUUCCAGUGACCUGGGGCCUUUACCUAAUAAAGAACCUCUUUUUUUCUCUCUUUCUUCAGAUAGUAAAAAAACACAAUGGGAAGACCCUCGUUUGCAGCAUGUAGCAAUAACUGGACCAGCAGUGCCCUACUCCAGGGAUUACAAAAGAAAGUAUGAGUUCUUCCGAAGAAAGUUGAAGAAGCAGAAUGACAUUCCAAACAAAUUUGAAAUGAAACUUCGCCGUGCAACUGUUCUUGAGGACUCUUACAGGAGGAUUAUGGGGGUCAAGAGAGCAGACUUCCUCAAGGCUAGACUGUGGAUUGAGUUUGACGGUGAAAAGGGACUAGAUUAUGGAGGAGUUGCCAGAGAAUGGUUCUUUCUUAUUUCAAAGGAAAUGUUUAACCCUUAUUAUGGGUUGUUCGAAUAUUCUGCUACGGAUAAUUAUACCCUACAGAUAAAUCCCAAUUCUGGACUGUGUAAUGAAGAUCACCUCUCUUACUUCAAGUUUAUUGGUCGGGUAGCUGGGAUGGCAGUGUAUCAUGGCAAACUGUUGGAUGGUUUUUUCAUCCGCCCAUUUUAUAAGAUGAUGCUGCACAAGCCAAUAACACUUCAUGAUAUGGAGUCAGUGGAUAGUGAAUAUUACAAUUCAUUAAGAUGGAUUCUUGAAAAUGAUCCAACAGAAUUGGACCUCAGGUUUGUCAUAGAUGAAGAACUUUUUGGACAGACACAUCAACAUGAGUUGAAAAGUGGUGGAUCAGAAAUAGUUGUCACCAAUAAGAACAAAAAGGAAUAUAUUUAUCUUGUAAUACAAUGGCGAUUUGUAAACCGAAUCCAGAAGCAAAUGGCUGCUUUUAAAGAGGGAUUUUUUGAACUGAUACCGCAGGAUCUCAUCAAAAUUUUUGAUGAAAAUGAACUAGAGCUUCUGAUGUGUGGCUUGGGAGAUGUGGAUGUGAAUGACUGGAGAGAACACACAAAGUACAAAAAUGGCUACAGCAUAAAUCAUCAAGUCAUCCAGUGGUUUUGGAAGGCUGUUUUAAUGAUGGACUCAGAAAAAAGAAUACGACUACUUCAGUUUGUCACUGGCACAUCACGUGUGCCUAUGAAUGGAUUUGCUGAACUGUAUGGCUCAAACGGACCACAGUCAUUUACAGUUGAGCAGUGGGGCACACCUGAGAAGCUGCCAAGAGCUCAUACCUGCUUUAAUCGCCUGGACUUGCCACCCUAUGAAUCAUUUGAAGAAUUAUGGGAUAAACUUCAGAUGGCCAUUGAGAACACUCAGGGUUUUGAUGGCGUGGAUUAGAUUUUAAGUAGCCGUUUAUGGUGUUUUACUGCCACUUUUUUUUUAAAGCAAAAUCUUGACUUAAAAUUUUCCAGGGAACUACUAAUCCUUGGCCAUUGAUGCUUCUCAGAUAUUGGAGAAAAUCGUGUCAACGAAUUAGAAGAGCUAGGAUGACAACGCUUCCAUUAUUUCAUUCAUUUUAGUAAUGUGUUGCAUUUACAUAGUUGUUUCGUUCUAUUUUGAGUUCACACCCAAGGAUUUAAGUCCUGUGUGCCUGAAAACGUGAGAUUUAUCCUUGGAUUUACCUCUUUUACAGUAUUUGCCAGGCAGUUCUUUCUUAAACUACUGAAAUGAUAACUGUGAAUACCUGUGAUAAGUGACAUGUGUGAAAAGUAUGAUUUUUUUGAGAAGGAGAACUGAAAUUUGGGGUAAAAAACUUCAAUACUGAGUACACGACAAUAUAUUCAAUGCUGCCUGCAGCUAGUUAUUAUUUUUUAGACCUGCCUACCGCACGGGCAGUAGCAGGUUUUUGGAAGAAUCUUGCAAAGUGUGUUACCUAUAUUUUCAGUCAACUGAUUCACUUACAAAAAGCUGUCUACUUCUUCAUUUUAAAAGUAUUUGGCUUUUGUUAGUAUGCGGUUUUACUAAACAAGGUAGUUCAUAGGACAUGUGAAGCAAAUUCAGAUUUGCAAAGGUUGAAAGGUAUCAGUGCCUCCCUCUUGCCUGUAUAUCCUAUGGCUCAUUGAUAGAGCCAUUACUCUUUACUGUUUUCAUUUAGUUAAAAGAAUUCCUUCUUCAAACUAAAGCUUGACAAAGCAGUAUUCCUAAAUAUGCCUUGAAGAACUAAGUUAAAUGUAUAAUACUUGCCUUUACUAGUCAUUCUUUACACUUGCACAAUUAUGUAGUCCUUACAUGUUUACAGGGUUUAUUAUGUUUACAGAUUAAGCUAAUUUCUGUAGUUGCAUUUUUAUAUUUUUAGUAUUUCACUUUAGUCAAACCAAAUAAUUUGUUAAAAAUUACCAAAGAAUAGUUACAGUGCAUCAUUUGUAUUAAAUUUAUUACCAUGUUUCUUAUGCUUUUUAAAAAACUGUUUACUAUGAAAAUAUUUUGCUAUAAAUCCAAAACUCUAGGCAAAAUGCUAGAGAUAGACUUCUACUUUAGCUAAAUAGAAGUACAUAAAAAUCCUGUGCGUGCAUUCAACAAAGGUUUACUGAAUGCCUGUGAUAUGCAUAGCUCUGUCUAGGCCAAAGGGUGAGAGUUGUCAGCUUCAAAGAAAUCCAUCCCCAUCCUCAAGGAACUUAGAGAUGUGUAAAGGAAUUUUGAAACAAUCAAAAGUCAGGGUGAGCAGAAUAAGGCAAAAGGGAAAGUGUUCCAGUGCACCUGCAAAGGUAAAGUGUGCCAAGGCUGUAUUUAUAUAUUUUAUACCUAUAUUGGAAUGAUUGUAUAGAAAAAUGCUCUUGAAAAAAGUUAAAGCUAUUUCUCAAUAUGGUAUUUUGGUGAUUUAGGGAUAAUUGUAAAUAUAUGUUAUGUCUUCUCAAAUACACACACACACACACUCCAAGAGGUGUAAAAAAGUANUUCUCAAAUACACACACACACACACACUCCAAGAGGUGUAAAAAAGUAUAUCUGGCUGUUGGUUACAGUUUGCUGGGGUCUAAUACCAUGUGUACUUUUCAGCACCUGGUAGGGAUCUCAUAAGUGACAGAAGCGAAGCCACUUUCCAAACAUCACAUCAGCAGCCCAGCUUAGAGAAAGUAAUUCACAGAUCCAUGUACCCUCUGUCUUAUCUUCUUCUGUGUUAACCAGCAUUCAGGGGAAACACCCUGCUUUUAUCACUUACCAAAUGUUUAAACCGAAGCAACAUACUUCACCUCUCUGGGUUCCUGGUUCUUCAUCUGUCAAAGGAAAAUAACUAUGUAUGCAUGCUCUCAUUGUAAGAUNNNNNNNNNNNNNNNNNNNNNNNNNNNNNNNNNNNNNNNNNNNNNNNNNNNNNNNNNNNNNNNNNNNNNNNNNNNNNNNNNNNNNNNNNNNNNNNNNNNNNNNNNNNNNNNNNNNNNNNNNNNNNNNNNNNNNNNNNNNNNNNNNNNNNNNNNNNNNNNNNNNNNNNNNNNNNNNNNNNNNNNNACAAAUCUAUGUAUACAUAUUUUUAUCUGUAUAUGGAUCUUACCAUCAGAAUUCAUUUUCUCCACAUGAGCAAAGUAAUGUUAAGAUGGGCCAAUGCAUUUUGGAAUGUUCUCAUUAUGUAGAACUGAACGUGAAAACUGCUUUUGUUAAAAAUGGAUUUUACCACAUGAUUGUUUAAAUAUCACUUCUGUCAAAUAUGGCAGAUUUCAGAGCUUGAGAAAAUAUAUAGCUUGCUUUUCAUCUGACUCAUUCACUUGGAUGAUUCUGUGACUCAGAUAAAACAGCGUAUUAAUAAGACCAGACACUCCCACCAGCACCCAGCCACAGACCAGCAUCUGCUUCAUUUUCCAGGUAUGCAGUGAUGGUCUGAAAGGACCCUGUAUUAAGCAACACAGCCCCUCAUCCCAAAUAGCAAAGUAUCUCAAAACACAUUCUACAGCUGGAAGUAAAUAGGGUCAUUUUCUUAGAGCAAGGAUGUCAUAUUUUUUUAGAACUUAUAAGCACAUAAUUUUAGCCUAUAUUUUCUCUGUAAUCAAAUUUUGACGGACAUAAAAUUGUAUUACAAAUGCAUUUCAUCCUAAUUUAAAGGUUUUAACUGUUUUUGUUUCUUAUUUAUAAUCUGAAAUUCCAGAGAAUUAUCAAGUCAAACAACUCUUUUGAAUUAUAAGCCACUUGAUAUUGUUUUCUAAAAUCUUCUGAUAUGGGAAAAUAUUACCAAGAUUAAUGUAUCAAAUUUUAUUGUAUACUUUAAAAUAUAAAACCAUUUUUAAAAAUCUGAUACCAUAAAUAAAGUUCUAUUCUAGCAAAACCA